AUUGAACGCUGGCGGCAGGCCUAACACAUGCAAGUCGAGCGAGCGGCGGACGGGUGAGUAAUUUCUGGGAAACUGCCUGAUGGAGGGGGAUAACUACUGGAAACGGUAGCUAAUACCGCAUACCAUCAGAUGUGCCCAGAUGGGUUUAGCUAUUAGGUUGGGUAACGGCUCACCUAGGCGACGAUCCCUAGCUGGUCUGAGAGGAUGACCAGACACACUGGAAAUGAGACACGGUCCAGACUCCUAAGGGAGGCAACAGUGGGGAAUAUUGCAAAAUGGGCGCAAGCCUGAUGCAGCCAUGCCGCGUGUGUGAAGAAUGCCUUCGGGUUGUAAAGCACUUUCAGCGGGGAGGCGUUAACCGCAGAAGAAGCACCGGCUAACUCCGUGCCAGCAGCCGCGGUAAUAC
rnacentral:rRNA from 1 species